rnacentral:rRNA from 1 species
GAGCUUGCUCUCGGGUGACGAGCGGCGGACGGGUGAGUAAUGUCUGGGAAACUGCCUGAUGGAGGGGGAUAACUACUGGAAACGGUAGCUAAUACCGCAUAAUGUCGCAAGACCAAAGUGGGGGACCUUCGGGCCUCAUGCCAUCAGAUGUGCCCAGAUGGGAUUAGCUAGUAGGUGGGGUAACGGCUCACCUAGGCGACGAUCCCUAGCUGGUCUGAGAGGAUGACCAGCCACACUGGAACUGAGACACGGUCCAGACUCCUACGGGAGGCAGCAGUGGGGAAUAUUGCACAAUGGGCGCAAGCCUGAUGCAGCCAUGCCGCGUGUGUGAAGAAGGCCUUCGGGUUGUAAAGCACUUUCAGCGGGGAGGAAGGCGAUAAGGUUAAUAACCUUGUCGAUUGACGUUACCCGCAGAAGAAGCACCGGCUAACUCCGUGCCAGCAGCCGCGGUAAUACGGAGGGUGCAAGCGUUAAUCGGAAUUACUGGGCGUAAAGCGCACGCAGGCGGUCUGUCAAGUCGGAUGUGAAAUCCCCGGGCUCAACCUGGGAACUGCAUUCGAAACUGGCAGGCUAGAGUCUUGUAGAGGGGGGUAGAAUUCCAGGUGUAGCGGUGAAAUGCGUAGAGAUCUGGAGGAAUACCGGUGGCGAAGGCGGCCCCCUGGACAAAGACUGACGCUCAGGUGCGAAAGCGU